UGGGGAAUUUUGGACAAUGGGCGCAAGCCUGAUCCAGCCAUGCCGCGUGCGGGAAGAAGGCCUUCGGGUUGUAAACCGCUUUUGUCAGGGACGAAAAGCUUCAAGCUAAUAUCUUGAGGUUAUGACGGUACCUGAAGAAUAAGCACCGGCUAACUACGUGCCAGCAGCCGCGGUAAUACGUAGGGUGCGAGCGUUAAUCGGAAUUACUGGGCGUAAAGCGUGCGCAGGCGGUCAUGCAAGACAGAUGUGAAAUCCCCGGGCUUAACCUGGGAACUGCAUUUGUGACUGGAUGGCUAGAGUGCGGCAGAGGGGGAUGGAAUUCCGCGUGUAGCAGUGAAAUGCGUAGAUAUGCGGAGGAACACCGAUGGCGAAGGCAAUCCCCUGGGCCUGCACUGACGCUCAUGCACGAAAGCGUGGGGAGCAAACAG
rnacentral:rRNA from 1 species